rnacentral:lncRNA from 1 species
CACAAAGCCAGCGUCUUAGAAUAGACUCAGCCUAAACAGGCGCUCACUUCCCACAGAGUUCCCAGCAGGAGGUGGCAGGACAGCUAGGUCUGCUGUGGGUCUUGGCUCCCCAUUCACACUAAAGGCUGAAUGCUCUGUGGCCAGUUCUCAAUUUGGACCAUGCUUUCCUGUCACAGCAGCCCAGACUACCCUCUGUCACCCAGCCCAGGAUGAGUGUAUCUGUUACCCCCAGGUUGACACUGCAAAAUCUGAAAAUGGCUCACUAUGCAGAGACAGUGCAGGGCAGGAGUGGAGUCCGAUCUCCAGAACCAGGCUUGAAUUCUGACACUGGGACAUCCUUGCUAUGUGACUCCGACCAAUUCACUUGACCUCUCUGGACUUGGCAUAAGAAGGGGAGAAUAGAAAUAUCUGUCACAUGGGGUUGCUGUAAGGAUUGAAGUGUGCCUAUCACUAUUCAAUAUUCAAUACAUAUUAGUUUUUACUAAUCUAAAAAAUAAAAUGUAAAAAUAAGAAAGGG